rnacentral:rRNA from 1 species
UCCGUAGGUGAACCUGCGGAAGGAUCAUUACUGAAAUGUAAUAACUUCUAUUGAAAGGUUCCAGAGUAGGCGCUACAACGCCGAAAUGACCUUCUCACCCUUGUGUACUCACUAUGUUGCUUUGGCGGGUCGACCUGGUUCCGACCCAGGCGGCCGGCGCCCCCAGCCUUAACUGGCCAGGACGCCCGGCUAAGUGCCCGCCAGUAUACAAAACUCAAGAAUUCAUUUUGUGAAGUCCUGGUAUAUCAUUUAAUUGAUUAAAACUUUCAACAACGGAUCUCUUGGUUCUGGCAUCGAUGAAGAACGCAGCGAAAUGCGAUAAGUAAUGUGAAUUGCAGAAUUCAGUGAAUCAUCGAAUCUUUGAACGCACAUUGCGCCCUCUGGUAUUCCGGAGGGCAUGCCUGUUCGAGCGUCAUUUCAACCCUCAAGCUCUGCUUGGUAUUGGGCAACGUCCGCUGCCGGACGUGCCUUGAAGACCUCGGCGACGGCGUCCUAGCCUCGAGCGUAGUAGUAAAAUAUCUCGCUUUGGAGUGCUGGGCGACGGCCGCCGGACAAUCGACCUUCGGUCUAUUUUUCCAAGGUUGACCUCGGAUCAGGUAGGGAUACCCGCUGAA